rnacentral:rRNA from 1 species
CCUACGGGGGGCUGCAGUGGGGAAUAUUGGACAAUGGGCGAAAGCCUGAUCCAGCCAUGCCGCGUGUGUGAAGAAGGCCUUCGGGUUGUAAAGCACUUUCAGUGGGGAAGAAAGCCUUGGGGCUAAUACCCUCGAGGAAGGACAUCACCCACAGAAGAAGCACCGGCUAACUCCGUGCCAGCAGCCGCGGUAAUACGGAGGGUGCGAGCGUUAAUCGGAAUUACUGGGCGUAAAGCGCGCGUAGGCGGUCUGAUAAGCCGGUUGUGAAAGCCCCGGGCUCAACCUGGGAACGGCAUCCGGAACUGUCAGGCUAGAGUGCAGGAGAGGAAGGUAGAAUUCCCGGUGUAGCGGUGAAAUGCGUAGAGAUCGGGAGGAAUACCAGCGGCGAAGGCGGCCUUCUGGACUGACACUGACGCUGAGGUGCGAAAGCGUGGGUAGCAAACAGGAUUAGAUACCCUGGUAGUC